rnacentral:rRNA from 1 species
AACGAACGCUGGCGGCGUGCUUAACACAUGCAAGUCGAACGAUGAAGCUGGAGCUUGCUCUGGUGGAUUAGUGGCGAACGGGUGAGUAACACGUGAGUAACCUGCCCUGGACUCUGGGAUAACCCCGAGAAAUCGGAGCUAAUACCGGAUAGGACCUUGCACCGCAUGGUGUGGGGUGGAAAGUUUUUCGGUCUGGGAUGGACUCGCGGCCUAUCAGCUUGUUGGUGAGGUAAUGGCUCACCAAGGCGUCGACGGGUAGCCGGCCUGAGAGGGUGACCGGCCACACUGGGACUGAGACACGGCCCAGACUCCUACGGGAGGCAGCAGUGGGGAAUAUUGCACAAUGGGCGCAAGCCUGAUGCAGCAACGCCGCGUGCGGGAUGACGGCCUUCGGGUUGUAAACCGCUUUUAGUAAGGAAGAAGGGGCUUCGGCCUUGACGGUACUUGCAGAAAAAGGACCGGCUAACUACGUGCCAGCCGCCGCCGUAAUAC